AACCUGGGGAAACUCAGGCUAAUACCGCAUACGUCCUACGGGAGAAAGGGGGCUUUGGCUCCCGCUAUUGGAUGAGCCUAUGUAGGAUUAGCUAGUUGGUAAGGUAAUGGCUUACCAAGGCAACGAUCCGUAGCUGGUCUGAGAGGAUGAUCAGCCACAUCGGGACUGAGACACGGCCCGAACUCCUACGGGAGGCAGCAGUGGGGAAUAUUGGACAAUGGGGGCAACCCUGAUCCAGCCAUGCCGCGUGUGUGAAGAAGGCCCUCGGGUUGUAAAGCACUUUCAGCGAGGAAGAACGCCUAUCGGUUAAUACCCGGUAGGAAAGACAUCACUCGCAGAAGAAGCACCGGCUAACUCCGUGCCAGCAGCCGCGGUAAUACGGAGGGUGCAAGCGUUAAUCGGAAUUACUGGGCGUAAAGCGCGCGUAGGUGGCUUGAUAAGCCGGUUGUGAAAGCCCCGGGCUCAACCUGGGAACGGCAUCCGGAACUGUCAGGCUAGAGUGCAGGAGAGGAAGGUAGAAUUCCCGGUGUAGCGGUGAAAUGCGUAGAGAUCGGGAGGAAUACCAGUGGCGAAGGCGGCCUUCUGGACUGACACUGACACUGAGGUGCGAAAGCGUGGGUAGCAAACAGGAUUAGAUACCCUGGUAGUCCACGCCGUAAACGAUGUCGACCAGCCGUUGGGUGCCUAGAGCACUUUGUGGCGAAGUUAACGCGAUAAGUCGACCGCCUGGGGAGUACGGCCGCAAGGUUAAAACUCAAAUGAAUUGACGGGGGCCCGCACAAGCGGUGGAGCAUGUGGUUUAAUUCGAUGCAACGCGAAGAACCUUACCUACCCUUGACAUCUACAGAAGCCGGAAGAGAUUCUGGUGUGCCUUCGGGAACUGUAAGACAGGUGCUGCAUGGCUGUCGUCAGCUCGUGUUGUGAAAUGUUGGGUUAAGUCCCGUAACGAGCGCAACCCUUGUCCUUAUUUGCCAGCGAGUAAUGUCGGGAACUCUAAGGAGACUGCCGGUGACAAACCGGAGGAAGGUGGGGACGACGUCAAGUCAUCAUGGCCCUUACGGGUAGGGCUACACACGUGCUACAAUGGCCGGUACAAAGGGCUGCGAGCUCGCGAGAGUCAGCGAAUCCCUUAAAGCCGGUCUCAGUCCGGAUCGGAGUCUGCAACUCGACUCCGUGAAGUCGGAAUCGCUAGUAAUCGUGAAUCAGAAUGUCACGGURAAUACGUUCCCGGGCCWUGUACAC
rnacentral:rRNA from 1 species